UAUCAGGAGCGCAACAGCCUGCAGCUCAGCAUGGAUACGGAGCCCGUACAUCUGCCCCCCCUUACCAGAGCAGCCCAGCUGAAUUCCAACAACGCUU